GGACGUUGAGUCAGUGGGAAGCGUGCCGGUGCAGGCGAGAGACCACCGUUAAGCGUCAUCGCAACCAAAUAAGCGCCGACUCUAGUCAGCGCGAGUUCGCCCUCGCCGCCUGAGCGAGGAGCGACUCUGUCGGACCGGGUGUGUCCCCGACCCGGAUCCCGGCAUCAGCUAGGGGACUUCACUGUCAGGCCUGGUCGCGGGGUCUGGUAGGACACCUCACAGCGACUGGGAUCGUCACACCGGCUGGUCCGCGUGACCGGUGGAUCCGAGUAGAGGCGUAGCGGACUGCGCACGGAGAAGCCCUGACGAGGCGACGGAGGACCCGGGUUCGAUUCCCGGCACCUCCACAU
rnacentral:tmRNA from 1 species